UUAAAACAUCUCCUGCCUCGAGAAUGCCAGAUGUUCUUGAGGGCAAUGGAAGGCAGCUCAAGGGGAUGGCAUCUUCCCCACCUCGAUAUGUCUCUGUGGUAGUCAUGGCUGCCUUUUGAGAUACUUUGCUGAGGGAGGUGUCUACAAAUUAUUUUAGCUUUUAGUUGGCAAUGGUCAGGUUCCGUGUCAGGUAGGAUGUUCAGCUACGAAUCUUCUGUGGACACAGCUUUUGAAGAGAAAACACCCUUGAUAGCUCAAACGCUUGGCUUUCCCAUUGGGAAAAACAGAUCUACUUGUCCCAAGCUGAUUAUCUAGAAUAUCCUUCCAGGAGUAGAAAAAUAAUUUCUGUUCUGCAGAUGUGAAUUUGCUUUCCAGAAACCAUUUCCUUUCCCAUGAAAAAAAAAAAUGCUCAGACAGUUCUUCCUUUCAAAUUUUAAUAUGCAAAUAUCUUUUUUACCAAAGAAGUGACUGUGUUUUGGUUUGUUUUCUUCACGAGGCAGUCUUAACAUUGCUUAACUUGCAAUCACCUCAUGCCCAUCAUUUGUUUCGACAAGUAUGUCUUUAUAAGUGUCUGCAAUAUAAUUACUGAGUUUCCCAGCAUGGCAGAUAAUGUGAGGUGACAGAGAAGGCGUCACACUGGCAGCCUCAUCAGUGACUGCGAGGAAACAUUUGAUUAUAUUUCUCUCUAGUGCCUAUUGCAAACUACAGCCUCUGCUCCACGGCACCCUUCACAUUCACCCUCUCAGCUGUCUUUCUAAUCUUCCUGUGCUAAACAUCUACCAGCCCUGCUGAUUUGUCAAACAAGAACAGGCUCUUCAGAUCUGAAGAAUCCUACUCUUCAAGAUAAAAAAAAAAACCAAAAGAAACAGAGAACUAUAUUUUUUUUUAACUUCAAACAAGCACUCUGUCUUUGCAUUGGGAAGCUUCCGAGACAAUUAGUGUUUUUCCUGUGGAAAAUAACAAGUCCUGAUUGUUUGUGAGAGUUUUGGUUGUUUGUGAGAUAGUUUUAUCUGAGCAAAGAAAGCACAGUAUGGUCCAAUAAAUACAAAACCCCCACAGUGUAAUUAAUAAUAAAAAACAAUAUGGCUGAGAAGAUAAAUGUGCUGAGAACCAGUGUGCAAAGGCCAGGGCAUCCAGCUAUGAAUGGAUCCCAGGGGCCAGCAGGAGUCUGUAGGGAUUUCUGUCUUCCAUGGGAGAAUACUGAGGGUGGAAAAAGCAUGAAUACAGGGGAAAACGUUGGUACUAUGCUGAAGGAUUUAGGCAUUUGAAAAUGAAAACAGGAAUGUUUUUUUGUUUAGUACAAUGAUGAAGAAUAGUUGAAUGUGGCUGCCUAAACUCAGUUUUCAAAUCUCUUGUAGAAAAAUGGUCCAGCUUGUUCCAGUCCAGCAGAGACACAUCUCCCUGUCCUCUCCUCAAUCUCCCAGGGAGCUCCUUUCUCUCCCUGCCUUCCCAUUCAGCAGGUCCAUCACAGCCCUGAGAAAACAUGGAAAAAGUGAUUCUUCUGCAAAACCCCACAUCCAACAAACUGGCAUUUUCUGGGGGAAAAAUGAAACCAAUGUUAAGCCCAAACCUCCUGUGGCUGAGAACUUGCUGAGAUAGUUGUACAAACCAUCGAAAUCCCACACCUUGCUAAACUAAUAUUGACAGUGAUGUCAACUCAUAAAUGGACACAUAAAUCAUAUAUGUGGUUUCUGUUUAUAUAGGUCAUUCAAUUGAAACUCCUUCAUAACAUUUGAGAUCACUUGUUAAUUCAAAAGAAUAGUUUAACAUUCCCCCUUCUUUAUCAAAACCCAGAGGUAUAGCUAAAAAUCAACUCCUGCUACUCAUGAUCAAGCCUCUUUUUUUGCAGUUGCUUGAGCUCUUGAAAAUUUUGUGUUUUCCAAAGUUUCCUGAACAGUUGUACCAAAAAGGCCAUCUGGGAAUAAAUCAUAACAUGCAGGAAAUUCAGAGAAGGGGGAUGGAUUCUUUGAUGCAGUAUACAGCACUGGCAGUGAAUUUUGUUUUUCAAAUCUUAUCUGCUCUGGUGUGGGAUGCAUUUGAAGAUGAUGCCUUUGUUUGCAGAAGAUGUAUCUGCAGUACAGCUCAUUCCAAAGGCAUAGGUGCUCUGUUUAUUCCUGCAUCACCUGCCAGCACAUUUAUGACGCAUAAGCCUGUGCCAUGCUGCAAAACAAUCACACAGGGUUGGAUGCUGUAAGACAGCAGAGGUGCUCCUUACCAAUAGAAUGAUUGAAUUUUGGGGGGGUUUGUGCUCCAUGAAAGCCAAGUUUUUCCUGCAGGUGAUGUUUCUGCUCUGUAUGGCACUUACUGUCUCCACCAAGGCUCUUGCCAACGUGCUGCUGACUUGGGGCUUCUUGCAGAGCCUCUGUAUCAAGGGGUGCAGCUGUGCAGGGUGUGCCUCUGUGGUGGAAAUAAAGAUGUGCAUCCACAGGUGAGCCAGCAGAGAGGAGCAGUGGAUUCAGAAAUGCACUUUAUGACAACUCAGUAUGUUUUUUUUUUCCCAUUGGGAUAUCCAGUUUUCCAAGUAGGAUGUCACCUGGUGAUCUUACCCCAAGCAAAGCUGGACCUUGCUGCUUUUCAUCUUACCUCAUUAAAACACAGAGCUUUGAGGUCAUCACCGUGCUGUCCACUUUUUCAGAUAUUUCCUUCUGGUUUUAUUUGGGUUUUCCUUCCCAGAAGAGUCUUGCCCCCACUUCCUGUAGCUGCCCAGUCCUGUUCUCUCAGUUCCACUCUCAGGAUGGGACCCUGUGUCCUGUCUUCUCUCACAUUUGCUUCUCCAGAAUGGAGCAUGUGAGUUUUUAAGCUUGCCAUUUUUUGGAUUCUCUCAUUAGUCAACAGUUGAAGGGCUCAAUCAAAGGAGUUUUUGUGCAUUUUGCAAGGAAACUUUUGGAAAGAGGAAAGGAAAUUAUGUCUUUCACCAAAAUUCUUCCCCACAAAGACUGUGUGAUCAAAAACCCACCUCAUUAUGUUUAUUUUUUCAUAAAUCUCCACCCUCUGGAGUCUUGCAGGUUCCUCAGUUUUUAUUUCCAAAGAUAUUUUUAGCAUUGUAGAUUGUAGGCAAGUGUGAAGCCUCAUAAAUCAAAGAAAGAACUUUAAAAAUAUAUCUUUUUUGUCUUGUCAAGUUUACCAUUGAACUUGUCAGAUGAUUUCUCGGGGGCUGUCAGGCUUUCUGCUUGGGCUGGGGGGUGGUGGUAACAAACCUGAAAGGUCUUGCAUGAAUCCUCUUUUUCUCCCUGCUUUUAUAUUUAGGAAAGAGAGCAAUACCAUGCCACACAUCUCCCUCCCUACUGUAAACAGAAAUUCAUUAUGAGAGAGCUGAGCCUUUGAUGCUAUGAACGAGCUUCACUUCGUGCCUGCUCCCUUACAGGCAGAAACAAGAGCGUGCACAGCACCUCCACCCCGCUCCCGUGAGCCCCCUGUGGACCUGUGUCACUGACCUGGACACACACCUGGAAAAUAAUCCCUCUGACACUUCUCCACGUGCUUAGGUUCUCAAACAGCCUCCACAACCUCCCUCCUCACCAGCAGCAGGCAGCUCUGCAGACAAAGAUAGCUGCUCUGAAGUGGGGCUGAUGAAUUACCAGCAUCUCCAAUCCUCAUCUUUCCAAGUGGGAGCUGGCUGCCAGCCAGUGCUCUGCGUGUGCAUGGACGCUGCUCCUGCCAACUUUUCCCUUUGGGAAGAUGUCUCCAGAGAAGUGUUUGUCUGCACAGGAAAAUGGCCAUUUAGAGUGUGCUGUGUACCAGCAGAGACUCUGCAUCCUGGGUGAGGUCAUGGGCCAGGGAACUUUAUGAGUGUCUUGUAUAAUUUCCUUUUCAUUCCUCUUUGUCCUUUUUAUCUUGUAGUUUUAUUUCCAAGUCACGAAGUACAGCUACAAAAAGGAAUUAAAUUAAUGAAUGACCUGAUUGCUUUAGCCCUUAAGCUAAUUUUAAAUAAUUGAAAAAGUAGCUGGCAAAUAACAUUCCCUGGAGAGUUUAAUUCAUUAUGCAGGUGUUUAAUUACAAGGAAGUUUUGAGAUAGGAGAGAGACCAACUUGGAGUAUUUGAGGAGAUGAGGGACCUUUUUUUUUUAUUUUCAAGAGCAUCCUGCACAAUAGCAAGUAUUGUACAUGAAUUUUUCUUUAUUUAUGCCUCACACAUUUUGCUAAGCCAGAUUCAACUCCAGAGACUUGUCAAUAUAGUCAUACUACAAGGGCAUAAAAUAUUCUGAUGCCAGGAAGGCACCCUCUUCAUCCUGCUGUUACUUUUUGUUGCUUUGCAAUUGACUUGUUAUGUCACAGUUUUAUGAGAAUGUGAGGGUUAUUUCAGUCCACAGCUACCACUAAGCUGGAAGUGCUGGUAGUAUUCACAGAUUCACUCAGAGACCUCUCUGAUGGAGUCAUCUGAAGAAUAGGGCAAUAAAUAUUCCACAGGAGCUGAUCAGGGGCUCAGCCUCUGUGACAGGCAAUUCUGACUAAGUUUAAAGAACUUUUUAGUCUUAGGCAGUGGGGUUUUAGUUUUUCUUUUUUUUUUUUUCUUUUUUUUUUUCUUUUAAGUAAUCCUCACUUAUCUCCACUAAAUACUUCAUUUUUUUUUUUUUUUUUCCAUCUGCAAAGGUAGAUUUUCCAGGAAGAAUUAUAUUUCAGGAGAGAAAACAGAAGGAGCAUGUUCACAGUCAGAGGGCAGAAACAGGGCACAGUAUUUUGCACCUCCCAAUGUCUGCCCCACUGAAAGAGGCAUGAGAAAAAAAAAAGAAGAGACCUUUUUGCAGGUCUGGGAAUGGAACAUGGUCCCUUCCUUCUGGCCAUCCCAAUGUCUAUUUCCAUUGUCAAGGAAGGCCAAAAGGUUUUGGAUGCUUUGUGAUGUGCUGAAGAUCUUCACACACAAGGUGGAGAAUGUUCUGCUUUGAAGUCUGCUGUGGCAUGGAGAGCAGCAUGUUCACCUGGAGCAGUUCAUUGGGUGCUGUUUAUAGAAGAGACCUUUCUUUCAUCUCGUGCUGUGGCAGCACCCUUUAAAAAGCAAGACCAGUGAAAGGAGGCCCCUCUCACUUGAAGUUCAAUGUAUGCAGCAGUAAAUGGAUGGGGAUGUUUUCGAGGCUUAAGGUUAAUAUUUUAUCAAGUCUGCAACAUACACAGAGUUUUUAAUAUUCUUAUCAAAGAUUAACAUCAUGUACCAGAGACUCAGGGCUAUAUUCUAAUCUUGAAUAUACAGCUUGCUAUCUCUCAGCAUCUCUUUUGGUGAGGACUUCUGAAUUACUGCUUUGUUUGAAUGCACAGCAAAGGAAAUUGAUCACUUCUGAUUUCAAUCUACACAUCUCUUUCAAACAGGCUGCAGAGUAUCUCUCUGAAGAUUUGAAUCUAGUGAGCUAAGCAACCAAAGAUGCUUCCCAGACAAUGGUAAUUCUUCAUUGAAUUGGCUGAUUUCCUAGCAGUAGGAAAGAGAUCAAGUUUUUAAUAUAUUUAUUUUGGGAAAAUCUACAAGAACCAGCUAAAAAGAAAUGGACUAGGAUCUACCUGCAUCUGUACAGUUUGCAUCUAAAACAUUCAAAUAUACCUAUCAAGACAUUUUUGUCAUGUUGGCAAUAAAAUUGUUACUCUUGGUAAUAAAACCAGUCUGUAAUUUUAUCUGCUUGGGGUGAAAAAAAGUCAGCUUUUUCAUGUCCCCCAGCCAGUUUGGUGUUAAAUACACUCAUUAUGGGCUGUGAUGAACAAGAAGUUAUCAAUGGCAUAUCCACAUAUUACAUUAUUGCCAUUUCUUGCAUUAUUUCCAAGUGGCGUGGAAGGGUCAGGGGUCCUCCUGCCAGUCCAAAUGUGUUUGCAGGAGGACUCAGCUUCCUCCAAGAGAAUGGGCAAGAGUAGGGGCAAAAGAAGAGGUCUUGCAGCAUCCUCUGGGAAAGAUGGGCUUGGCAGCCUCUGCAUGACCCCAUUCUUCAUCCUGCUAUCAUCAUGAAGUUCAGGAGAAAGGGUGCAAUUUUAACCAAACAUUACCUGGAAUUCCCAUUCCCAAUGGUGGCCAGUGGAUGUGUCUGUCUAUCCCAGAAUUAUGAGGUGUAUCACCAUGAGGGAUCUUUACUCACUACUACUGCCUCUACCAAGAGGGGUAGAAAUGUAGUGGUGGGAGCAAGAAAGGGAAUUUUUCUUCCCAGUUCUGUUCAGAGAGCCUUGUCUGGCUUGCAUUUGGACCUUCUGUGACUCAUUCAUCUGAUGGGGAAUCUGUAGAAGGAAUUGUGGAGAAUUCAUUUUCCACAGAUCCAAAGCAAGUAGCUUCUCCCAGUAUUUCCCUUUGCUCUGACAAGGACGUGCUGCAAAAGCUGGCAGUGGUCCUUGGGCUGAUAAUGGCAGAGAGCACACUCCAAAUCCUCACAGGUGUGAUAAUCCAGAGGAAGUGGGAUUUGCUCCAGAGACAUGUGGGACCUUGAACUAAUUUAAAUAGAACUGUCCCAGCCUGAAAUUUCUGAAUUUAAUUCAAGAUGCCACACUCAGUCAUUGUUCCAAAAGCGUCCUCAUUCCUUGACCUUGUUGCACAGAUGGCAUUGUUCUGAACAGGUUUCUACAGGCUGUAACUAAUUAAGCAAUUAAUUAGGAGCCCUGGUUUACACAGAAGUUGUUGUAAAGCAAUAACUUCUGUGACCUCACGGGUCUUGUCAAAGUGCUGGUCCCAAGACUGUCCAAAUUAUCUGUGCUAAAGAUUCAGUGUGUUCACCCAGUCUUAGUUUGACUGACCUGAGAACCACCUGAGCUUUUCCUGAUGUGUCCUCAGGAUGUCACAUGUAUUUGAAAGAUUCACUUUGUUAAAUGUGGUGCAGACCACUUUGUCCUGUAACAUUCAGUGGCUCUCUCUCGUGUGCUCUCUAGUUGAGAGCACAAAUUUCUUGUUUCCCUCAGCACAUUCAGUAUCCCCCACUGUCAAAAUCCAUAUUUAAAUCCCAAGGGCAUUGUCUAUUAUUUUUACCAUAUCUGACUUUGUUCUGUCAAAAUCUGAGCAAUUUUUCCUCAAUCAACCUUGUUCCAAAGCUUCAGAUAUUGUGAUUCUAAUUGUGUCAAGUAAGAUCAUUCUUCCUAGCAAUUUGCAACCCAAGGAUGAAUGGUAAAAUAUAGAAAUACCACAAUUUGUGAACUCUCGCAAGGUGACAUUCUAUUUCUCUUUUCCACCACAUGCAUAGCAGAAUCAUGGAGUCUGUUUUAGGAGAAAAGAGAGGAGAAAAAUCAAAAGUGGGAAAAGGAGAGACCUGCAGGGAGGGGGCUUGAACCUUGUCGGUGUAACCCUCCCAAAUCAUAGGGAGCCCUUUAAUCAGCUCAAGGCACCUUUGGUGAAUACUAUAAAACUGUGUCACUGUGAGUUACGAUGUCCCACAGAAAAUCCUGACUUCUCCCGGGAAAAAGAAACAAGCCAGAGACAGCAGCGCUCUGAAAGGGAUAAACAGCUGUGCCCAGGGAAUCUCACCAGACCAUUUCAACCAACCCAGAUGGAAAGGAUGCUCAGUUAAGCAGCCAGAACAAGGACUGCUGCUAAAAGCUGCAGUUAAGUAUUUUAGUUGGUGUUUGGAUGUAGAUGUGGUGGAGCUAUUGCUGAUUUGUUUUUAAUGAUGGAAGUUCUAUAAGUGGCUCAAAGACCGCGUUGUUCUUCUUUGCAUACGCAGGAGAAAGCAUCUCACUUUUCUCUUGUGAAUUGAUUUAAGACAGAGGGGACAUGUAUUUAGUAGAAAGCAAAUUAAAGGUUUUGUUAAUGAUAAAUAGCUAAGGUUAAUUUAAUUUACUACUAAUUUCAAAGAGAGAAAAGAGAACCAUGACGUCAUGUCUUCUUAGCUCCAUUUGAAUGUUUCAUUACCUCUCUUUCUGACUGAAAUGACUCAUGAAAUCAUAUACACUGUACAUGGCAAGGACUUUUAAGUUCAUCUUGUCCAUCUGUCUGUCACAACCGUGUUCUUAUUCAGAAUGGUAAACAGGGAAACUACAUUAGAGACAGACACAGCGUCCUCUUAAAGAGCAGGGAACACUAAAAUAUUCUUUACUCAUAUUUGUACAUCACCCGGGUGUGAAAGCAGAGCCCAUGAAGUCGAUGUGAAUGAAUGCAAUGCCAUGUAGCACUAAGUAAGGCUUACAUCACUUCUCACAGCUGCUUUGUCAUGUGUUGUUUUGCUGAUUUCCUUUUACAUUUAGUGGGCUACUUUUCAAAGCUAAUGGCUUUCAUGAGUCACUGUGAACAAUAAAGCCCUAGAGCAUCCCUGAUGGGUGACAUCUGUGACUGGGGAUCAGAUUGGAGGGUAAAAAGACAUCUGCUGGAAAUAAAGGUGAUCUGCUGGGAAUUCAGAGCAUGAAAGGCAGGCCUUAGAACAAAUGCUGGUGGAAGAGAAAGGGUCUGUUAUCCCGUGCUUUUACACAACCUGGCAUCCUCCAAUCCUGAAAGAGCUCAGUAAAAAGCUGAGGGACACGCACCAGUGAUUUCUCAGGAUCUUCAGUCACACACAAGCCAGCCUUCCUCUCUGCCUCUCCUUGCACUUUCAUUACUGCUGUUGUGAUGUCUCUGCUGUGGCUGCUGACUGAAAACCCUGUGUGCUCUGGCUGUCCUAGAGCAGCUCUGUCAGAGCUGGCAGUGUAGCUCUUCAUGAGCAAACACCAUCACCUACACUGCUGGACAGCUACUUUUUCAACUUAUUUUAUGGUGCCUGUGUUCUCUAACAUGGUGAGAACCCACAGGAAAUCAUUAUCCUCAGGGCACCACGUGAAAACCCAAUCCAUCUCCCAUGGCAUGUGCCUGCUCAGCUCCCAGGAACACUGUCACUGGGUCCUCAGCAGCUUGUGGGCAUGGGCUAAUCCUUUCCUCUGGAGCACAAGGGACUGGGAUUCUGCUGCUCCCUCUCCACUUGGAUGCCUGACUUCCCUGAUUAGCUGUCUGUGACAGGGAUCUCUGGGAGAGCACCCUGCCUCUGAGCCCCAGCAAGGAAGGAUCAUUAGCCUGCAGCCUGUCUGCCUGUGGAAAUAUCUCUACACGUACCCGAAAAGGAUAACCAUAUUAACACCCAGUUGGAUUCUGUUAAUAUGGCUGUCAGGAGGCAAAUGUCUCUUGACAUGAAAUUAUGUCCAACUGAUCAUUUCAGCUGCCAGGGCUGCUCAUUAGUUCACAAAACAGUUGGGUUUUUUUUCCCCUAGUGAAACAUCUUCAAAUAGCAUCUUUCACAGCCAUUGCAUCUGCUUCCUUGAGUGUCAGGAUGUAUGUGGAAGGGGCAUUUUUGUACAAUGAGGGGCAGGGAUCUCAUUUCUGGCGCAAAAUCCCAGCUAGGAAUAAAGGUCUUGAGGUCUUAAAUCCGUUUUGUCAUGGCCUCAUAAAAUUUCUUGAGUAAGUCUCCUUAUAUUUGGGAUAUAUUGGUCUUGUUUUGGGAAUCCCCAGUACCCUUGGUCCCUUCCACUAGCUGUGCCCCUCUUGAUUCUUCUCUUAUCUCUGCAUGUCAGAGACAUGCCACCAAAAGCAAUAAUGGGCCCCCCUGGUUUUGACUGGGGGGUUGAUGGGUUGAUGGGGCUGGAUCACCAGGAGGGAAUAUUACAUGGCUUUAUAUUUGUGAUUUAUGCAGCCUGCACUGUAUGGGUUUACAGCCUAUCUGUGCACUUGCUGCUCUGCUGGGAGCUGUAAAGAAGAAAAUCAUAUAAUAAAAACCCUUCUGGUCCUGAUGUAAAAUUCAGCACAAUACAUCUCUGCCUGUGCCAACUCUUCCUUCUUUCUUUUGCCUGCAUUUCUAUUGUGUGGCACAGUUACCAGGAUCAUUAAAUUCAAUGUCUGAAGGCCAGCUAAGGCUCCUCAAUGCUGCAGAGCA